AUUGAACGCUGGCGGCAGGCCUAACACAUGCAAGUCGAACGGUAACAGGAAGAAGCUUGCUUCUUUGCUGACGAGUGGCGGACGGGUGAGUAAUGUCUGGGAAACUGCCUGAUGGAGGGGGAUAACUACUGGAAACGGUAGCUAAUACCGCAUAACGUCGCAAGACCAAAAAGGGGGACCUUCGGGCCUCUUGCCAUCGGAUGUGCCCAGAUGGGAUUAGCUAGUAGGUGGGGUAACGGCUCACCUAGGCGACGAUCCCUAGCUGGUCUGAGAGGAUGACCAGCCACACUGGAACUGAGACACGGUCCAGACUCCUACGGGAGGCAGCAGUGGGGAAUAUUGCACAAUGGGCGCAAGCCUGAUGCAGCCAUGCCGCGUGUAUGAAGGAGGCCUUCGGGUUGUAAAGUACUUUCAGCGGGGAGGAAGGGAGUAAAGUUAAUACCUUGGCUCAUUGACGUUACCCGCAGAAGAAGCACCGGCUAACUCCGUG
rnacentral:rRNA from 1 species